rnacentral:rRNA from 1 species
CUACGGGUGGCUCCAGUGGGGAAUAUUGGACAAUGGGGGCAACCCUGAUCCAGCCAUGCCGCGUGUGUGAAGAAGGCCUUUUGGUUGUAAAGCACUUUAAGCGAGGAGGAGGCUACUGGUACUAAUAUUACCAGCUAGUGGACGUUACUCGCAGAAUAAGCACCGGCUAACUCUGUGCCAGCAGCCGCGGUAAUACAGAGGGUGCGGGCGUUAAUCGGAAUUACUGGGCGUAAAGCGCGCGUAGGCGGUUUGUUAAGUCGGAUGUGAAAUCCCCGGGCUCAACCUGGGAAUUGCAUUCGAUACUGGCAAGCUAGAGUAUGGGAGAGGAAGGUAGAAUUCCAGGUGUAGCGGUGAAAUGCGUAGAGAUCUGGAGGAAUACCGAUGGCGAAGGCAGCCUUCUGGCCUAAUACUGACGCUGAGGUGCGAAAGCAUGGGGAGCAAACAGGAUUAGAUACCCUCGUAGUC